CCUACAGGUCGCACCAGUGGGGAAUCCUGGGCAAUGGGCGCAAGCCUGACCCAGCGACGCCGCGUGUGGGAAGAAGGCCCUCGGGUCGUAAACCACUGUCAGGAGGGAAGAAAAGCAGUUCCCCAACAGGGGGCUGUAUUGACGGUACCUCCAGAGGAAGCACCGGCCAACUCCGUGCCAGCAGCCGCGGUAAUACGGAGGGUGCAGGCGUUAUUCGGAAUCACUGGGCGUAAAGCGCGCGUAGGCGGCAGCGCAAGUCAGAUGUGAAAGCCCUCGGCUAAACCGGGGAAUUGCAUCUGAAACUGCGUAGCUAGAGUUCGGGAGAGGGCGGCGGAACUCCCGGUGUAGGGGUGAAAUCCGUAGAUAUCGGGAGGAACACCAGAGGCGAAGGCGGCCGCCUGGACCGAAACUGACGCUGAGGCGCGAAAGCGUGGGUAGCAAACAGGAUUAGAUACCCGUGUAGUC
rnacentral:rRNA from 1 species